AACGAACGCUGGCGGCAUGCUUAACACAUGCAAGUCGAACGAGACCGUCCGGUCUAGUGGCGCAGGGGUGAGUAACGAACGGGAACGUGCCACGAGGUUCGGAAGAACCCCCCUCAAGGGGUGCUAAUUCCGGGGAAUGUUAUUGCAGCAAGGACUUAUCGGUUUUGGAUGGGCCCGCGUUGGAUGAGCUAGUUGGUAGGGUAAAGGCCUACCAAGGCGACGAUCCAUAGCUGGUCUGAGAGGAUGAUCAGCCACACUGGGACUGGGACACGACCCAGACGCCGUCGGGAGGCAGCAGUGGGGAAUAUUGGACGCGGGGCGAAAGCCUGAUCCAGCAAUGCCGCGUGAGUGACGAAGGCCUUAGGGUUGUAAAGCUCUUUCACCCGGGAUGAUAAUGACAGUACCGGGAGAAGAAGCGCCGGCUAACUACGUG
rnacentral:rRNA from 1 species